rnacentral:rRNA from 1 species
AUUGAACGCUGGCGGCAUGCUUUACACAUGCAAGUCGAACGGCAGCGCGGGGCAACCUGGCGGCGAGUGGCGAACGGGUGAGUAAUACAUCGGAACGUACCCAAGAGUGGGGGAUAACGUAGCGAAAGUUACGCUCAUACCGCAUACGAUCUAUGGAUGAAAGCGGGGGAUCUUCGGACCUCGUGCUCCUGGAGCGGCCGAUAUCUGAUUAGCUAGUUGGUGAGGUAAAGGCUCACCAAGGCGACGAUCAGUAGCUGGUCUGAGAGGACGACCAGCCACACUGGGACUGAGACACGGCCCAGACUCCUACGGGAGGCAGCAGUGGGGAAUUUUGGACAAUGGGCGCAAGCCUGAUCCAGCAAUGCCGCGUGAGUGAAGAAGGCCUUCGGGUUGUAAAGCUCUUUUGUCAGGGAAGAAACGGUUGGGGCUAAUAUCCCCGGCUAAUGACGGUACCUGAAGAAUAAGCACCGGCUAACUACGUGCCAGCAGCCGCGGUAA